UCAAUGCAGGUCGUGCUUAGAGAAUUAUUAGGAGCUCUUGGCAAAGAGCUCUGGCCCCAUGUGGAUAAUCCUGACAGGGCUGCAUCCUAGCAGAGAAUACUGGUUACUCUGAAAUCAGUGCCUUCCCUAGGAUGCACUUUUUUGGAACAAUCUCUUAUAGCAUCUUGCUGGAGGUUGAUGAAAACAAAUGCAAACAAAAACAGAGAGUGAUAAGUCAGAAGGAUGGCUCAUCUCUCCAGCUAGGGGAAUGGAGUGUGAGAUCACAGUGUACCCAGACAAAAAAGACUGAAGCCAUCAGACAGCCUCUCUGCUCCUUUCCCAUCACAUCAGGCAGAGGUGGAAGCUGCUGGAUGAAUAAUGGUGACAAAACUGGGAAUCUUUCCACACAAAUGGCAGACACCCUGGCCCAUAAUGUUAAAAAAUACAGAAAAGAAGGAGAGAUGAGGACACAGACACCCAGAGAGGGACGACCAUGUGAGGAAAAGGGGUGCAGACAGAUGUCUCCACGCCAAGGAGAGACUCCUCAGAAGAAACCAGCCCUGCCAAGAGUUUCCUCUCAGACUUCUGGCCUCCAGAAUUAUGA